UGUGGGAGCGAGCCUGCUCGCGAUAGCGGUGGUUCAGUCAAUGGCGAUGUUGAGUGUGUUGACGCCAUCGCGAGCAGGCUCGCUCCCACA
rnacentral:misc_RNA from 3 species